CUGGCCUGUAGGUAUGGGAAGCAGCUCUGCCCUGAGUCAUCUUUCAACCAGGAAGCUUGGCCAGAGGGGACCCUGAAGGAACAGCAAGUCACUGAGUUGAAUUUUCAGACCUGAGGUGAGUAGAAGGUGGGAGUGGCUACCAACAGCUUCCAUUUCUCCAGUCCCCUGAUGUCCAGGAAGCACCAAUUUAGACCAAGAAUCCCGUUGCUGGGGAGGUUUCUUCCCUAAUGCCCAGAAAGAACCCCAAAGACAGCCCUUCCUUGUCCUCACAGUUCACAGAUGAUCUGAGGAACCAGUUGGCCCUCAGAGAUUAGUUGCUGGGCACAGGUCUCUGGAGGUGGCCUCUCCCCUCCUCUGGAGACAUCCCUGAAACAAAUGUGAUUGUAACAGACCAUCUGAGGCCCAAAGCAGGAAACAUCUUGCAAAGAAGAGCAAUUGGUGCUACUAUGAGCAGCUGAAGUCAGAAGCUUGCAGUGGAAGGCUGGCCACUGUCUCCAGGCUCAACAGUUCAGACCAAGUGUGGCCACCCUGCUGCCUAGAGUUGUUGGCCUAGAAAUAAGCCAAUGUUGGUGACAACCAAACAGCCUCCAGGCCCCAAGUCUAAUGGCAUUUAUGGGACACAUAACUAUGGAGAGACAUUGCACGAAGUCCCUUUGUGUGUGUUGGUUCUGAAAGCAACUGGUUUUCAGAUUCCUCCUCCUGUCAUUCUGUUCACAGUGUAUAUUGACUCUCUCUGCUGGCAGCACAUCAAGAUGUGGAGUUGCCCUGGCUCUGUACUGGGCUUUCUACAGGAUGCCGAAGGAAGGACCUGGAGGAAGCCGGGACAAUGGCUAUCACAGGACGCAGAUGCCAGGGACAGGAAAGAAGAGAAAAUGAAGGACUAGAGAGAUGGCUCAGAGGUUAAGAGCACUGGCUGCCCUUCCAGAAGUCCUGAGUUCAAUUCCCAGCACCAACAUGGUGGCUCACAACUGUCUACAAUGAGAUCUGAUGCCUUCUUCUGUCGGGCAGGCAUGCAUGCAGACAGAACACUGUAUAAUAAAUAAAUAAAUAAAUAAAUAAAUAAAUAGAAAACAGAAC
rnacentral:lncRNA from 1 species